CUGUCGGGGCGGCGGAUUCCGCCUUUUUUGUAUCAAGUAAGGAGUUGAAAAUCCCCUAGGUUUCACUCACUCGCACCCCUCUCACAACUUCGAUCAUCUCUCGCCUUCUCCAUCACUGCCGGCGUCCCUCAUUCUCUUCCUCUACCCGAUUGGGAGAGGACAGGCUCCCCUUUCCGCCUCCAUCUCAUCUAUAGCCGACGCUAACGCACACAAUAGGAGCUUCAUCCCAGAAUCCGCAGGCCAUCUCAUCUCCUCUACCAUCUUCCUCGCCGUUGACGGCAAGGUCUUCUCACAGAGCUUCUAGAUCUGAAAGCCAUCUCACGAUGCCUUCAUCUUUAGCCCACAGCUUCUUCCAAUUGGGAGAGGCGCCACCACCGAACUCUACAUCACCCUCUCCUGAUUAGUAGAGGUUUCUUCACCACCACUAGUUUCCUUCCACCUCUCCAUUUCGGAUUUGAAGAGUAAAGCUUCAUCACUAGCCAGCAGCCCCUCUCCUCUUCGGAUUUGAAGAGGAGAGUUCAUCCAUCCUUCAACAACCCCUUUAUCUUCAGAUUCGAAGAGAAGGUUUCAUUCUCCAUCGACGAGCAGCCAUCCACUUCAUACACAGCCUUCGCCGGCAGAUUGGCCGUCAGAGAAGCUCCAUCCAGCAGCCCCCUCUCCACUACGGAUUCAAAGAGGAGAGUUCUAUUCCGAUCCAUGCCUACGACAUUGGGUUAUUUCUAUCUAUGUUGAAUUGUGUUAUUCUUGUUGAUUGUUGAAUUGUAACGUAGCUAUUCUCCCAUGUUUAGAAUUGUAUGUAUUUUGCUUAAUUGAAUUCUCGCUCGUUAUGUGUUGAUGAAAUGCCUCUUUCAUUAGUUAGUUUCUAAACUUGCAUCUUCUUUGGUUUGAAUUCUUGUGAUGAUUAGUUAGUUGAAUGUUUUAGGUUAGAUUAGAUUAGAUUAGUUGAAUUUUGAAAAAUUUAUUCAUGUGGAAGUUUAUUUCUAAUAUUUCCUAAAUUUUUGCGACUCAAAUUUAUUCAACUUGUCCAUUACCUUGUCUAUAAACUAUGCACUUCCAUAAUCAUAAACUAUGCACUUCCAGAAUCUUAUUGAAGCUUGUCAUUGGGUCGGUCUUGAAGCUAUAUUAUGUUAUUUUGGAAAGUUUCUUGAAACAUAAUCCAUUCAAAGAAAUUUGGAACUCAGGAAGUGUGGACUUCCAUUGCAUUUUAUCCAUACCUAUGCUUUCUCUUUAACAUCCUCGCGUUUGCUUAUGGUUUAGUCACUUUAUUGCUAUUCACUUUGUCCAUUCGAAGGAUUUAACUCAAAUUAUAUAAGAUAAUUUGCUGCCUGUUUUCCCUCAGUUUGCUUGCUCGACACACAUAACACAACUAGAUAUGUGUUCCAUUCUAAAAGUUUUCUAUAGUUUAUGAUUGGCUUCUAUAUCAAUUUAUAAUUUAACAAUAUAAGAACUAUUGUGUUUAUGGUCAACAUGGUUAUCCAUUAGUAUAACUCAUUACAUGUAUUAGAUGUUCCAAAGAGAUUUUAAAAGUUGAGUUUGGAUUCUUAGCUGUUAAUUUGGGUGCUGAAUAUUUGACCCUAACCCAAGCAAGUUUAUCCCAGGGCUUUCAUUUUUUUUCCUUCACUUUGUAUUUUGGUUUUAAGGACUUCUAUCAAAUUGACUCAUUUCGCUCUAAUAUAUUUUAGAAGUUGGCUCGCUUUGGCACACUAUUGUUCUUGGAACUGGAGACCUUCGGUCCUUUCCAAAGCGGCACUAGGUAGUCACUUGGACAAAAGUCAGCUGAGCAAUGUGUAAAACAAAUUGUGUUUGUUUAAUCAUCACGAUACCACCAUGUUGGCGUGAUUUCCCACCUACAGCGGAGUAUAGGAACAAUUUCAUCAUUGAUUAUCCGAGUGUAGUUUUGUUUCUGUUGUACCUUGUUUAUUAAAGUUGCCUUGAGAAACCACAUUAAACUACUUGAUCAGAAUAUGGAGGAUUAAGAUGCAGAAUAUAGAAAAAUAAAAGUCCAUGGCUGCAUAUAUCAAGAGAGAGGGUCGUCAUGCAUCAUUUAUCUCCAUUCUCUUAGAAAAUUGCAUGGGCCUAAUAACUUUUCUUUUUUGUUAAAAUUUGUUUGAAAGCGGAGAGUUCUCAAAUAAAUCUAAUAACUUUGAGUGAUUGGUAAGGAUGUUGGAUAUGUAUCUGUGAGAAAAAAGAGUUCUUUAAUGAAUCCAAACUUAUGUGUUGCUUAGGUAUUUUUACCUUAAGCUUUUUGAUCUUUCACCGAUCAAUGUUUGUUUUCUUUGAUACACAGGUUUGUUCUGCCUUGGUGCAACUUAUAGAAGUUUGACCAUUAUUCCUAGAGUGCCUUUUCAGAUAUUUUGAAGGUGAAUGGAGGUAUUAAAAAAUCUAGCUAAAUAGCUCGGGUAUGGAUGAUUACAGGAGCAACAAUUACAUGUUAUGUGGCACUACAUCUGAACCUCAUGGGUGUGACUGGGAAGUACUUCGACGAAGAACUAUCAAGAAGGCUUUGGGAUUUAAGUGAGAAGAUGGUUAAAGUCAAUGAGUAAAGAACAUUCAAGUCAAGAGGAUAAGUAGCAUCUAUAAAGAUCCUUUAAGUUCAUGCAAUAAGAUGUAGAUGAUAGAAGUAGUUUUCAGUGUCUCCUAAUUAAAAUUUCUUUGUAUGCAAGUAAUUAUGCUUGUUAUAAAGUGUAUGGAUGAUAAUUUAUAUAUUUAUCUUGGUUGUUUAUUUAA